UACGUAGGUGGCAAGCGUUGUCCGGAAUUAUUGGGCGUAAAGCGCGCGCAGGUGGUUUCUUAAGUCUGAUGUGAAAGCCCACGGCUCAACCGUGGAGGUCAUUGGAAACUGGGGAACUUGAGUGCAGGAGAGAAGAGUGGAAUUCCACGUGUAGCGGUGAAAUGCGUAGAGAUGUGGAGGAACACCAGUGGCGAAGGCGACUC
rnacentral:rRNA from 1 species